rfam:Colletotrichum orbiculare MAFF 240422 contig02862, whole genome shotgun sequence.
AGCGGAUUGAUGUAAUAGUAACAUAUUUGACUCAUGAUCAAAUUAUAAAGGUGCAAAUCCUUUAUCCGUAU